UUUCCUUAAGCAAUUCUUUCAGAAAAGUUGGAAAAAAUAGUUUUGCAAAAUCAUCUUCUUGAAGGUGAUUCUGUCUCAGUAUUGUCUCAAGACUAGGUGACUUGCAAAUGAAAUGAGUAGCUAUGCUUCACUUUCUCCCCGAGGAGAUGUGUGUAUCACACAGCCUUCAGCCCCAGUGUAUACCAGCUGACAGUCCACUUGCUGGCCUUCUCCUCCAGAGAGGUGAAGGAAUAAAGUGUGCAUGGAGGUUGGAUUCCCUUCUCAGCUAGUGGCAAUAUCAGGUCGGUGUUGAAGCACGUUACUAGGGAUUUUGUUACAAACUUUGCUGCAAAGAACUAUUUUUUUUAACUAAAAAAUAAAGAUCUCAAUUUUUUGAGUAGUGGAACUAAAUGGUUUAUUAACACUAUGCUUGUAUUUUACAGGGAAAAGUAAAAUUAUAAAUAAUUUCUACUAAUGACAUGCAUUUGCAUGGAAAUGUUAGAAAAAUAGGAUUGCUACCCGGUGCUGUUAAGUAUUCACAACAAACAAGAAUUUAUCAGCAUUUGGCUCAAAGAUACUUGAUUUUAAUAAAAUUGGGGAUUUUAGAUGGUCCUGUUUGGUUUGUUUUUUCUUUUCAUCAUUUCUGUAACAGAUUUAUUUGGAGGUUUAUAGUUCUACAUGGGAAUCUCAAAAAAUAAUGUUGGUAGCUGGAGCAUGAGCAAGAUUUUUGUGGAUUGUGUAUAUGAGAAAUUACCUUCCUUUGGCCAACAUUCAUGUCAGUAUUGAAGGAGAGUUAAUACAGUAUAAUGCAUUUAAAACUUUAAAAGAGCAUCGAACAUUUAAUGUACAAUACUUUAUUCAAACUCUGCCAGAAGUUAGUAUGACAUCAGUCUUGUAGCAGCUGCUAAAAGUUCACUUCUGCUUCAUACAAGAUUUUUUUACUGUCUUAAAUACAUCGGCCAUUUACCUUUCUCAUGCAUGCAAAGCUUCCAGUGAAACCAAUGGGAGCUUUACCUUCAGAAAAACCAAAAUACCACCACAGUGGCUGCUGUAAUUUGGGGGGUUACUCUGUGGAUGCUGUAGCAAAAGCAUUGCUGGUAAUGGCUGACAGUUACAUUCUGUGAAGUAUACUGUGCAAGAUUACUGAUUGGAGCUGUAUGAAAACACAUCCUCCUUGGAACAUAAAGACGAUUAAUGACUGCAUGGGACAAUUAAAUGCUCUGUGGUGAGCAUGAAUCAGGAGGAUCCUGCUACAAGUUCACAGGUGGUCCAGGAAAUGAAGUGCUCUCUAUACAGAUGAGUGUUUGUGUGAAAAAAUACAGUGUUCUUCCUGCUGCUGGCAGCAAUUACUGUCUUAAGCAUCUAGAAGAAUAGAAACCAGCAUUUUUUACCCAUCUUAUCUUUGAUUUUGGAUGAUCAAGAGAGAAGGAGAAAUGUUUUGAAUUAAUAUUUUUUACGUGAGAAUUUGCUUCUCAGAAUGUUGUAUUAUUACUUACUAAUCAAUAAAGAUAUUUUAAAAUAAAAAAA